UACGUAGGGUGCAAGCGUUAAUCGGAAUUACUGGGCGUAAAGCGUGCGCAGGCGGUUAUAUAAGACAGAUGUGAAAUCCCCGGGCUCAACCUGGGAACUGCAUUAGUGACUGUAUAGCUAGAGUGCGGCAGAGGGGGAUGGAAUUCCGCGUGUAGCAGUGAAAUGCGUAGAUAUGCGGAGGAACACCGAUGGCGAAGGCAAUCCCCUGGGCCUGCACUGACGCUCAUGCACGAAAGCGUGGGAGCAAACAGG
rnacentral:rRNA from 1 species